CCAAAACAACAUCUUGAAAAAUUAGUUAUAUGCUUAGCAUUAGAAUAGUCCUUAUAUUUUCAAAUCCAUUAGACUGGAAUACUGUUAGACUGAGAAAAUGCAAUUUGGAGCUACACAAGCAGUUUCAAAGUAGGGUGUUCAUGUGGAUGGUGGACAGUCAAGAGUGAACAACAAGCAAAAGUAAGUACAUAACCUGAGUAACCUAAGGGACAGCAUAUUUUAAAUUCUGGGAAUAAGGCACAUACUCUUGGGCAGAU
rnacentral:lncRNA from 1 species